rnacentral:snoRNA from 1 species
UCGACGAAUACUUAGUCAAGAUCAUUGCUAUAGUAUUUGUGAUGUUUUAUUGUUAUAAAAUAACGGAUAUUACAAAAGUGAUGAUGAAAUGACGCUACUCAC